rnacentral:lncRNA from 1 species
GAUUCAAACUUUUCCCCUCUAGUCUCCCAAAUCAUUGUAAACAGACAUAACAAUGUUCUAACUUGAUAGUAAUACUGGCUUUUUGGCCACAGACAGCUCAUUGGAGCUGUUUUGUAAAUCAAAAGAAAGGAAGAGCGGGGGAAAGCCAAUCUCUCGCUUUAUUUAUAUUAUCAGUCUUUGGUGAAUGAUUUAUCAUUUAAGUGCUUUGAAAAGAGAGUCCAGAAACCAUUGUCCAAUUAGUGCUGCCCUCUUAAACCACAUACUAUAAAUAUUCGUAAUUAUCAGAAUCAAAAAACAAUGUUCAUCAGGGCUUCAUAUUCAGGGUAACAACUUAUUUUCUGGAUUUGCCCAGCAAAAUUUAUAUUUAUCCAAAUUAGGCAGAGAAUUGAAAACAAAUGAGGCUGUUGGUUUAUUUGAGAGUGAAACCAAUCACAGACAAUGAGAAGACAGGAAUACAGGGAUAAAAAUAUAAAAAUAACACGUUUAACUGUUUAUUUCUUUAUUCUUGUAGAUUUCUACAUUGACUUUAAUUAAGCUAGCCCUGGGCUAGUGGGCAUGGGUAGAUUUUUUUUUUCCUUUUUUAGUUUUUAAUUCCUCAUUAGGCUGUUUUUUCCUUAGCUCUCGUGGCUCUAAUGACUAGUCCCAUUAAAUAGGUCAAUGGGCUUCUUUUAUUUCAAGUUUUAUAUAGACUCAUAUUCCACUGAAUCUUAAACACUGAACACCCAAAGACUUUCUAGGCAUAUUUCUUCGUUCCUGUUGAUACAUAUGUAUUUAUUUCCCUUUUCCCUUCUCCCCACAGCAGCUGAGCUUUAAUUUCAGCAUACCUGCAGAAAGCUCAGGAAAGUCUGGGCCAGCCACGUGCAAAACUAUGUCCCAGAGUUGAGCAGUGAUGAAACAAGCCUUUCUGCGAUGGGAAAGGAGGGAAAGCUCGAAGUAUAACCAAAGAGCAGCAGCAGGGUAUGGACAGAUGAGAGGCCAUCACUGGUGGUGCAAAUACCAUCCUGUGGACCUUCCGCUUGUCCUCCAGAUACCAAAGGGUCAAAGAUGACAAGAGGCCAUCCUAAGUACCUUGAGUAGAUUGCAAAAUGAUGUUUUGUUACAGGAAAAAGGGAAGUGUAGCCAAUAACUAACCCCUCCAAAUCACCUUUUUUUUUUUUUUUUUUCCUUUUUCUUUUCCUGAUUAUGUGAAUUGCCUUUAAUUGGUAUGAAGAACAUAAUAAAUAUUUUGUUCUUCCAAGAAGUUGUUGUUCA